CGCGGCCCUCGCGCCGCGGCCGUUGGGUGCCUUCGCCCGGCGCCGCCCGCCCGUCCCGGUGCUCCGCGCUCGGCCGCUGCCCCCGCCCCGGAGGUGUCCUGCCCGCUUUGCCAGAGCGAAGAGCACUGCUAGGAACAGAGGAUUUCAGCUGUGCCUUUGCUAUUUCCACACUUACCACUGAAUCAAUACUGUUUACGCAGAAACAGCAUUAUAGGUCAGUGGUGAAGAGAUCUGACCAGGAAAGGAAUCCUGCCCACCAGACAAACACUUGACAGCAUUUGUGGGGAAAUAAUCUGCCCUGUUUGGAGACUGGAGG